rnacentral:tRNA from 1 species
GCCGGCAUAGCUCAGUUGGUAGAGCAACCGCCUUGUAAGCGGUAGGUCGUCGGUUCAAGUCCGACUGCCGGCU